rnacentral:misc_RNA from 1 species
GUCCCACAAGACAAAUGCAUCCUGCAACCAAGAGGUGAACAUGUUUGGAUAUAGGAAAGGUUGUUAAACUCGCUUUUUUAACCUAAAAUCAGUGAUGAGUGUAUAAACUUGAAUCAUAAAAUCAUAAAAAGAUCUUGGAAAAUACCUAUAUCAUUACAAAAAGUUAUAAACAAGCCUUUUAAUUAAUUGUUAAGUCAAUUAUUUUAAUUUUAUUUUCUUCACCAAGUUAUCAAUAUGAGAAUAAUUAAAAUCAUUCAAUAAGAUGAUAAAUCAAUGCGCGCAAGCGCGCGCAACCGCCCGCGCAAGCGCGCGCAAGCGCCCGCGCACACACACACACACAUGAACCUCAUAUUUGAAAGCAUAAUUCCAACUUUCCAAAAAUUUAAAUACAAAUAAGAAUAUAUUAAAUAUAAACAAAAAUAUUAUAUGUU